rnacentral:lncRNA from 1 species
AUAACUCAGCCCAAACACAAACUGAGCCCAAGUGCCGUGGGCUGUCGAUUCUCUGUGAAGAAAACAGCGUCGGUCGGAGGUGGGAGGCUCGAUUGACAACGAGUAUGGUAGUGGCGAAGACUUAGGUGAGGUUAAUUGCUUGGGUCACUGGUUAGAAGUAGCCGACGGGUGGUCGAUUGGAUGUUGAAGUCGGUAAUUGGUGGGAGUCGCCUGCGUCUGAGAGGAUGGUGAGUGUUGGGGGUAUGGUUGGACGUUGCGGCUGGGAGUGAAUUUGGGUUAAUCGGCG